rnacentral:rRNA from 1 species
UACGUAGGGGGCAAGCGUUGUUCGGAAUUACUGGGCGUAAAGGGCGCGUAGGCGGCACGAAAAGUCGGGAGUGAAAGCCCGGGGCUCAACCCCGGAGGGUCUCCCGAAACUGACGAGCUAGAGUGCGGAAGAGGCAACCGGAAUUCCCAGUGUAGCGGUGAAAUGCGUAGAUAUCGGAAGGAACGCCGGUGGCGAAAGCGACGUGCUGGACCUCAUCUGACGCUGAGGCGCGAAAGCGUGGGGAGCAAACAGG